rnacentral:rRNA from 1 species
UACGGAGGGAGCUAGCGUUGUUCGGAAUUACUGGGCGUAAAGCGUGCGUAGACGGUUAUUUAAGUCGGAUGUGAAAGCCCCGGGCUCAACCUGGGAAUUGCAUUCGAGACUGAAUAGCUAGGGUGCGGUAGAGGGAAGCGGAAUUUCCGGUGUAGCGGUGAAAUGCGUAGAUAUCGGAAGGAACAUCAGUGGCGAAAGCGGCUUCCUGGACCAGCACCGACGUUCAGGCACGAAAGCGUGGGGAGCAAACAGG